CUUCUCCCAACCAUUCACAAUGGGACAAGUGUCCCACUCACCUCUCUCUCCCCCUUUUUCCUCUUUCUUUUCUUUCUUCUUUUUCUUUCGUUCUUCCCCUUUCUCCCUUGGCAUUCACGCACAGCCCCCUAUUCCCUUUCUUUCCUUUUCUUUUCUUCUUCCGUUCCUCCCUUCUCAUCACACACGUACCACCCUCUCCAUUUCUUCCUAUCUAUUUUCUUCUUCACACACACGACGCUAAGAGAGAGAGACCUGCAGACCGAAGAGAAGGAAAAAGAGGAGAAAAGUAGAAGAAGAAAAAAAAAAAAAAAAUGGGUUUUUUGGCCAUGGGUCUUUAAGAGAUGAUGUUUCUUUGGCUGUAGGUACUCCGAUUGUAGUUGAUGACGUAGUAGAAGUGUACUUGGGAUAUUAUGACCGAAGCUCGUCGUGAUGGUCAUAAUUGUGGGACCAUGGGCGUCCUUUGUUUGAUGGGUUUUGUUUAUGGCCUGUGAUGCCUGUGUCACUUGUUAUGGUAUAAAGUCAUUUAUGUGAUGUAUUUAAUUUGAGGUAAGACUUAAAUAGAUAGAUGUAAUAUUGGCUCUUGAUUAUGAUUAAUUUAUAAUAGAUGUUUAAGAUGUGAUUUCCGCUA